AUUGAACGCUGGCGGCAUGCCUUACACAUGCAAGUCGAACGGCAGCACGGGAGCAAUCCUGGUGGCGAGUGGCGAACGGGUGAGUAAUACAUCGGAACGUGCCUAGUAGUGGGGGAUAACUACUCGAAAGAGUGGCUAAUACCGCAUGAGAUCUACGGAUGAAAGCAGGGGAUCGCGAGACCUUGUGCUACUAGAGCGGCCGAUGGCAGAUUAGGUAGUUGGUGGGAUAAAAGCUUACCAAGCCGACGAUCUGUAGCUGGUCUGAGAGGACGAUCAGCCACACUGGGACUGAGACACGGCCCAGACUCCUACGGGAGGCAGCAGUGAGGAAUUUUGGACAAUGGGCGCAAGCCUGAUCCAGCAAUGCCGCGUGCAGGAUGAAGGCCUUCGGGUUGUAAACUGCUUUUGUACGGAACGAAAAGCCCUGGGUUAAUACCCUGGGGUCAUGACGGUACCGUAAGAAUAAGCACCGGCUAACUACGUGCCAGCCGCCGCCGUAACAC
rnacentral:rRNA from 1 species